rnacentral:rRNA from 1 species
CAUAGGUUAAUGAGGCGAACCGGGGGAACUGAAACAUCUAAGUACCCCGAGGAAAAGAAAUCAACCGAGAUUCCCCCAGUAGCGGCGAGCGAACGGGGAGGAGCCCAGAGCCUGAAUCAGUGUGUGUGUUAGUGGAAGCGUCUGGAAAGGCGCGCGAUACAGGGUGACAGCCCCGUACACAAAAAUGCACAUACUGUGAGCUCGAUGAGUAGGGCGGGACACGUGGUAUCCUGUCUGAAUAUGGGGGGACCAUCCUCCAAGGCUAAAUACUCCUGACUGACCGAUAGUGAACCAGUACCGUGAGGGAAAGGCGAAAAGAACCCCGGCGAGGGGAGUGAAAAAGAACCUGAAACCGUGUACGUACAAGCAGUGGGAGCCUCUUAAUGGGGUGACUGCGUACCUUUUGUAUAAUGGGUCAGCGACUUAUAUUCUGUAGCAAGGUUAACCGAAUAGGGGAGCC